GGAGGAAAGUAGGGGAUCGAAAGACCUUAUGCUUUUGGAGCGGCCGAUGUCUGAUUAGCUAGUUGGUGAGGUAAAGGCUUACCAAGGCGACGAUCAGUAGUUGGUCUGAGAGGACGACCAGCCACACUGGGACUGAGACACGGCCCAGACUCCUACGGGAGGCAGCAGUGGGGAAUUUUGGACAAUGGGCGCAAGCCUGAUCCAGCAAUGCCGUGUGAGUGAAGAAGGCCUUCGGGUUGUAAAGCUCUUUCAGUCGAGAAGAAAAGGUUGUGAUUAAUACUCACAAUCCAUGACGGUAUCGACAGAAGAAGCACCGGCUAACUACGUGCCAGCAGCCGCGGUAAUACGUAGGGUGCGAGCGUUAAUCGGAAUUACUGGGCGUAAAGGGUGCGCAGGCGGCUCUGUAAGUCAGAUGUGAAAUCCCCGGGCUUAACCUGGGAAUUGCGUUUGAAACUACAAAGCUAG
rnacentral:rRNA from 1 species